AAUAUCAGCAGGGAAAACUGAAUCACUGCCAGGGAGUUCUGUGACGGCAGCAUCAGACUCCACUAGGAUGACGGCUGGCUCCCACUGGACAUCAACAUUAACACCAAGUCAUGGCAAUCCUGGUAGCAAUGACAAACAAGCGGUUAAUGACCAGUAUUCCAGUAUUAUUUUGCCAGUUGUGAUUGCCUUGAUAGUAAUCACCCUUUCUGUGUUCAUUCUGGUGGCUUUGUACAGAAUGUGCCGGAGGACAACCACAGAGGGACAAGAGAAUGGAACUGAACAAGCCACAACAGAUAAAGAGGGUGUCAAACUUCUUUCUGUAAAGACAGCGUCUCCUGAGACUGGUGAGCACUCCUCUCAGGGAAAGAAUAGAACUCACCAACAUGAUGAAUCCUCCUCACACCUGGGCAAUAAAUAUCAAUUUGCCUAUCAAGAGCUGCCCCAUCAUCCUCUGAGAGCUGAGGCAUUUUCAUAUUUCUCAAAUAUCUACUUAUAAAUUCAGGAUUUGGAUGUUCUGAAGUGUACCAAGUAUGGAAAAGAUCCUGUAGAGUUAUGUUUACUUUCCAAAACAGAAAGUUCUUUAACCAAUCUCUCUUCUUCAAGAGUUCUCAACUUUUUGAGGUAUGAUGCUAUAUUUAUGUGAAGCUGCCUCUUUUGCCACAUUAUAAAGGAACUGCCCUCUGAAGUUACAGUUCCACAGGGGACAUGUGGAUCAGCUGCAGCUUCCUACACACAGGCAGGACAUUUGUGUUAAUUGUUCUAUGAUUAGCUCUUAAUUUCCAUACUUUAAAUGCCUCGUGUUUUCUGCUGGAAAGACUCUUGUUUUCUUAAUGGCUACAUAACUGAUGUAGUGUACAUAUUUAUUAUUUCUACAUAUAUUAAAGCAGAGAAACUUUCAGGAAUGAUAAAGGUAUUGUAAAAAUCUGGUGGUGUGUGACUAAUAAUGUUGUCUUUCUUGUAUAUAGAAAUGUUUUCUUCCCAUACAGGAAGGAAUAUGUUAAUAUAUUUUCUUAUAUGCUCAAUAAAUAGUCUUCUGAAAUCAUAUGUAGUAGAUUGCAAACUUGGGGCCUGAUCUUUCAAACACUAGUAUGCAAAAUUAUCAUUACCACAAGUACGUCCAUUGACUUCUGCGGGGCUACUCAUAGUAGUAAACACUUCACCAGGAUGGGGCACUUGGAGAUAAUAUCAAAGUGGUUUUGUUUUUGUUUGUUUCCAUGAAGGGGGCGAUUUUACCAAUUACAUUUUAAAUUAGAUUUUUUUAAAACACUGUAAAUUGCUGCACAUGGUCCUUAAAAUGCAAACUAAUUACAAACAAAUAUUACAGGGUGUUUUUUUUUUUUUUUUUUUACUGUUCCUUGGGUAGUCACUUUUUGUUAUAUCCGCUGUAAGAAUAUUUCUCCAGAUUUAAUCUGCAUUAUACAGUGAGGACUCAAAAGGCAUUUACAAUACUACAGGCUGCAUUUGUCAAAGGAAUAACAACAGUGAUAGACUUUGUUUCUCAAAUUUUGAGUAAUGCAUGGAAUUCCUAUUCAUUAUUUAUCAACUCAGGAAAUUUAAUGAUUCCUUCCAGUGAUAAUUACAAAAUAUCUCAAUUUAUAAAGCACUUAUGUAAAUAUCUAAAUAGUGCUGCUAUCUCCAUGUGUUCUGCUUUUCUAGAUAUAUAAACCUUUGGAAAUUAUAAUAAUUUGAUCAAUCUCAAUCUGUUGAUUCAAGUUUGAUUUAUUUGCUGAAAUAUGAAAAUGAGACACAGGAGUCUCAUUAGUGGUCUAAACACAGGAUUGAGAACCAAGAAUUCUAAUCCUAGUUCUUUCCACUAUGCAUUUGGGCAAGUCACUUAGCUCCUCUUUCUAGUUUUGCUGCUCUGCAAAGUGGCAACAAUAACACCUACCUACCAGUCUCACAGGGCUAUUGUGCAGAUUAAUUAGUUAAUGUUUGUACAGUACUUUGAAGAUGAAAAGUGCUCUUCCGGUGGUAGGCAUUAUCAGCUCUCUUGUUUUCUGUUUGAUGGGUCUUAUCCUGUAUCUAAGGCCUUGGCUACACUGGCGGUGUACAGCGCUGCAACUUGCU